rnacentral:rRNA from 1 species
ACGCUGGCGGCGUGCUUAAUACAUGCAAGUCAACGACUUUAGAGUAGCAAUAUUUUAAAGGAGUGGCGCACGGGUGAGUAACACGUAGGUAAUCUGCCUUCAGGACUGACACAACUCGUCGAAAGACGGGCUAAUAUCAGAUAAUGCAGCGGCUCCGCAUGGAGACAGUUGUUAAAGUACAAGCGCCUGAAGAUGAGCCUGCGGUCCAUUAGCUAGUUGGUAGAGUAACAGCCUACCAAGGCAACGAUGGAUAGCUGGUCUGAGAGGAUGAUCAGCCACACUGGAACUGAGACACGGUCCAGACUCCUACGGGAGGCAGCAGUAAGGAAUAUUGCUCAAUGGCCGAAAGGCUGAAGCAGCAACGCCGCGUGAAGGAUGAAUGGCCUUUGGCCUGUAAACUUCUGUAAAAAGGGAAAACAAUCAGGCAUGUCCUGAUUUGAUUGUACCUUUGAAGUAAGCCCCGGCUAACUACGUG